CCCUGUACCACAAUGUCUCUUUGGAGAGGUGUCUGCCACGCUUGGGGGUCACCCAGCAUAAGGGGGGGUCACCCCUGUUAAUCACUCUGUUAUGUGACUCCACUACUGUGUCCUGGGAGGUGUAUCCCUGUGGGGAAGGAGUGUAUCCAAUGGUUGUGAGGUCCAGUGGGAGUAGGGAGCUGAGUAAGUUAUCAGCUCUAUUUAAUUUCCCUGCCAGUAGAUAGAGUAAUGCAUCCACUAUAUGUCCACAGCAGGGGACAGUCCAUUCAUAAUCCUCCAGAUGUACAAUAAAACUGUUAUUCAACAUCUCAAUUGUAUAGAACAGAAUAGAGCAAACUGUCAGCAGAUGCACACAGCAGGGAUCAGUCCUACAUAUUCAUGCAGAGUUACAUAUAAAACUUUUAUUUCACAUGCCAAUGAAAUAUGCCAGUAUAGAGCUCAGCAGUGAACAGUCCAUUCAUAAUCUUCCAGGAAAGGUACAUAUAAAACCUUUAUUCCACAUGCACAUGAACAGUAUAGAGCUCAAAAGUACUUGUAAAACUUUUAUUUCACAGGAAAAAAUAUAUGAAACAGUACAGAACUAGCCGCCAGUUUGUGUGAAUCACGAACUGGCCAAACGACAUGGCCGACGUGAAUCUCGCGAGUGCCACGAGAUUCAAGAUGUCCGCCGUUCACGCGCAAAAGUGCCGUGCGGCCCACGAUCAAGGAUACAAUCGCGGUCUGCCGGCAUGGAAAAGAGUCCCCCCGACACCCCCAACCCCCUGAAGUCCCAGCACCAAUGAAUAAAAAGCGUCCUCGCGGUAAAACGCUGCGAUCCGUGCGAGACCAGUGUAAAGCAUAGGAAAGAAAAGGUGCCAGCAACAGAAAACAGGCUAAUAAAGCAGAAAAUACAGGUUAACAGUUUGGAGCAAAAACUGAAUGUCUAGCAUUAAAAAUCUAACUAAAGUUACCAUAGCAAUAUUAAUAAAAACAGUUGGAGCAAACUGAAAGUCAAGUAAUCCAUUUUAAUUAAAGUGGUAUCCUGAAAACCAGUUAGGAUUAAAACUGAACAAUAUUAAUAAAAACAGUUUGGAGCAAACUGAAAGUUAAGCAAUAAAUGGUUAACUAAUGACAAUUGCAAUAUCAGUAAAACAGUUUGGAGCAAAAUACUCUGACCUGUGCCUUGGCUGGUAAGCAGCAAAGAAAGAGGAAGUCAUGUGUCCGUCAGGGCUUUAUAUAUGGAUGUGAUGCC